rnacentral:rRNA from 1 species
AAUCAACGCUGGCGGCGUGCCUCAGACAUGCAAGUCGAACGAGAACCUCCCUUCGGGGAGGAGACAGUGGCGCACGGGUGAGUAACACGUGGGUAAUUUACCUUUGGGUGGGGAACAACAGCCGGAAACGGCUGCUAAUACCGCAUAAUGCAGCGGCUCGACAUCGAGACAGUUGUUAAAGCGGGGGAUCGCAAGACCUCGCGCCUGAAGAGAAGCCUGCGGCGGAUUAGCUAGUUGGUAGGGUAAUGGCCUACCAAGGCGACGAUCUGUAACCGGCCUGAGGAGGGCGGUCGGUCACACUGACACUGACAUACGGGUCAGACUCCUACGGGAGGCAGCAGUCGGGAAUUUUGGGCAAAUGGGCGAAAGCCUGACCCAGCAACGCCGCGUGAAGGAUGAAGCUUUCGGAGUGUAAACUUCAUAAGAAUGGGAAGAAU